ACGCUGGCGGCGUGCCUAAUACAUGCAAGUCGAACGGUCUUUCUAUGGAAGCUUGCUUCCACUGAGAAGAUAGUGGCGAACGGGUGAGUAACACGUGGGUAACCUGCCCAUAAGAGGGGGAUAACAUCCGGAAACGGGUGCUAAUACCGCAUAGUUUUCUUGAUCGCAUGAUCGGGAAAGGAAAGACGGCCUUUGUGCUGUCGCUUAUGGAUGGACCCGCGGCGUAUUAGUUAGUUGGUGAGGUAACGGCUCACCAAGACGAUGAUACGUAGCCGACCUGAGAGGGUGAUCGGCCACAUUGGGACUGAGACACGGCCCAAACUCCUACGGGAGGCAGCAGUAGGGAAUCUUCCGCAAUGGACGAAAGUCUGACGGAGCAACGCCGCGUGAGUGAAGAAAGGUUUUCGGAUCGUAAAACUCUGUUGUCAGAGAAGAACAAGUUGGAGGGUAACUGCUCCAGCCUUGACGGUAUCUGACCAGAAAGCCACGGCUAACUACGUGCCAGCCGCUGC
rnacentral:rRNA from 1 species